rnacentral:snRNA from 1 species
CACAAAAUAUAGAGAGUACCUAAAAUUGGAAUGAUACAGAGAAGAUUAGCAUGGCCCCUGCCCAAGGAGGACAUGCAAAUUCGUGAAGUGUUCCAUAUUAAA